CGAGGGGCUUCAUGUGGAGACCAUGACGAUGUAGAGGAGUUUGCCAGUGCUGCUGCCUGUGGAAGUUUCUUUUUUUGGCACACAAGGAAUGCUCUCCUUAGCUAGAGUCGUAUUUACUACUGUAAAAAGAAUAUAUAAAGUGAGAAAAAUUUAAAAGUCAGCCUAAACAUUGUCAUAUUUUAAUGCAGGAAGUAAAUAGUAAUGAGCAAAAAAAAAGAAGAAUAAUAUUUACUGUCAAAAGGGAGGAGAGAAUUUACAGUCACCUAAUUUUUGCAGGCACUUCCCAAUUCCCACCCACUGAAUGUUACUGAGUGGAUUUAGUGGUUUCUAUCACUAAAACUAGCCACUAACAAGAUGAAAGCAGCAGCAGUGCAGAUGCAAAAUAGCAAUGCCCGUGGUGGUGAUGGCCGCAUUUGUGGCACUCCAGAGUAGCAGCAGUGCAGGUGCACCGUCCAGUUCAGUCAGAUAGAUGAGCGUCAGUUGAUUUCCGAGGGCAAGGCAGAUCAAGCUGGCAAUGCAACAUGCAGGCAGAGGUAGCCAACAAUGCAGCCCUUUCAAUUAGAGGUACUGGUCAGUGCAGCUGACAAAAGCACACCAGUAGUAUGCAAGUUCAGAGGUGGUCACUUGAGUUUCAGAUUUGGAACACUUUUGCCUCUUUCUAAAAAUGAGCAGUAAGUAAAAUUGGUGCAAUGGAUUGUUUGCCUGGCGUCUUACUGCCUAUUCUAGCAUAAUUGACCUGAACGCCCCUAAGGUUGAGCAUAGCUCAUGUUUGUUCUGAAUACAGGGAGUCAAUAAGUCUUAUAUAUUUUGUGUUUGCUAAAUAAAAAUUAUAUUACAAUACUACCAAAUGCAUAUAAAUAGAAAGAUAAUAAAUUAACCAAAUGAUAGAUCGGUCUAGUCCGAAACAUCUGUUGGAAACACGCCGGAGUAACUCCGAAACGUCUGUUGGAAACAUGCCGGAGUAACGACUCCCAGGUCGCCGGCGAGUCUCCUGGCCAAAGCACAGGGACACACACGCACACACAGGUAGACACUGAAUUGGUGCUUGCUAACUUGGCCCUCUUCCUUGGCCUUUAUGCCUUGUAUUUAUAGACUAUUACAAGGAAAGUAAUCAGGGCUUCAAUCAGCCCGAUGCACACAGCCACACAAUUGCUAACUGUCUAUUUGCCAGGGCUGUCAUGGAACAUUACAUUUCUGUAGAUGAUCAACAACCAUUACCAUGAGUUACCAUUACAACAAUAUGCUCCUGUCGUCCAACAUACACAAGAUGCACUUACAGUACAGAGCAGAAUAAUGGGAAGCCUUCACACUUCACACUAGUGUAGCUAACAAAAUUGAAGGCACAUGAGAUCUUACUGCCUACUCUACCAAAAUUGACUCAAUUACGCACGAUAUAAGAGGUUACUGCCUAAUGUAAGGCAAAAGAGAUCUUACCCCCAGGUUCUCUGUUGAGAUGCACAAAAUCUAGCAGCAUACAAAUGUAGAUCGAGAAUGGAGAGGAUUGGCGGAGCUGGGUGGACCGGCGAUGGUGGGACGGAGCGGCGGGGCGGAGGUCGGCGGGGGCGUGGCUGGCCGGCGCCGGGUGAGGGGCGGAGCUGGAUCGGGCGCGG
rnacentral:lncRNA from 1 species